UACGUAGGGGGCGAGCGUUGUCCGGAUUUACUGGGCGUAAAGCGCGUGUAGGCGGGAGAUUAAGUUGGGUGUGAAAGUCCAGGGCUCAACCCUGGGAUGCGGGUGGAUACUGCCGAGCUCGAGUCCGGAAGAGGCGAGUGGAAUUCCGUGGUGUAGCGGUGAAAUGCGCAGAUAUCAGGAGGAACACCAAUGGCGAAGGCAGCUCGCUGGGACGUGACUGACGCUGAGACGCGAAAGCGUGGGGAGCAAACAGG
rnacentral:rRNA from 1 species